UACAGAGGGUGCGAGCGUUGUCCGGAAUCACUGGGCGUAAAGGGCGCGUAGGCGGUCUGGUAAGCGUGUGGUGAAAGCCCGGGGCUCAACCCCGGGUCGGCCGUGCGAACUGCUGGACUGGAGCAGAUCAGAGGCAGGCGGAAUUCCGGGUGUAGCGGUGGAAUGCGUAGAGAUCCGGAAGAACACCGGUGGCGAAGGCGGCCUGCUGGGAUCUUGCUGACGCUGAGGUGCGAAAGCGUGGGGAGCAAACAGG
rnacentral:rRNA from 1 species